rnacentral:rRNA from 1 species
UACGGAGGGGGCUAGCGUUGUUCGGAAUUACUGGGCGUAAAGCGCACGUAGGCGGCUUUGCAAGUUAGAGGUGAAAGCCCGGGGCUCAACUCCGGAAUUGCCUUUAAAACUGCAUCGCUAGAAUUGUGGAGAGGUAAGUGGAAUUCCGAGUGUAGAGGUGAAAUUCGUAGAUAUUCGGAAGAACACCGAGUGGCGAAGGCGACUUACUGGACACAUAUUGACGCUGAGGUGCGAAAGCGUGGGGAGCAAACAGG